AUACGGAGGGGGCAAGCGUUGUUCGGAAUUACUGGGCGUAAAGGGCGCGUAGGCGGAUUAUCAAGUCAGAGGUGAAAGGCCUGGGCUCAACCUGGGAACUGCCUUUGAAACUGAUAGUCUUGAGUCCGGAAGAGGAUGGCGGAAUUCCCAGUGUAGAGGUGAAAUUCGUAGAUAUUGGGAAGAACACCAGUGGCGAAGGCGGCCAUCUGGUCCGGUACUGACGCUGAGGCGCGAAAGCGUGGGGAGCAAACAGGAUUAGAUACCCCUGUAGUCC
rnacentral:rRNA from 1 species